rnacentral:rRNA from 1 species
AUUGAACGCUGGCGGCAGGCCUAACACAUGCAAGUCGAGCGGAUGAAGGGAGCUUGCUCCUGGAUUCAGCGGCGGACGGGGGAGUAAUGCCUAGGAAUCUGCCCGGUAGUGGGGGAUAAUGUCCGGAAACGGGCGCUAAUACCGCAUACGUCCUGAGGGAGAAAGUGGGGGAUCUUCGGACCUCACGCUAUCAGAUGAGCCUAGGUCGGAUUAGUUAGUUGGUGGGGUAAGGGCCUACCAAGGCGAGGAUCCGUAACUGGUCUGAGAGGAUGAUCAGUCACACUGGAACUGAGACACGGUCCAGGCUCCUACGGUAGGCAGCAGUGUGGAAUAUUGGACAGUGGUCGAAAGCCUGAUCCAGCCAUGCCGCGUGUGUGAAGAAGGUCUUCGGAUUGUAAAGCACUUUAAGUUGGGGGGAAGGGCAGUAAGUUAAUACCUUGCUGUUUUGACGUUACCAACAGAAUAAGCACCGGCUAACUUCGUG